rnacentral:rRNA from 1 species
AACGAACGCUGGCGGCGCGUCUUAAACAUGCAAGUCGAACGGCAGGAAGGGGCUUGCCCCUUCUGAGAGUGGCGGACUGGUGAGUAACACGUGGGUGACAUACCUUUUAGUUGGGGAUAGCUAUUAGAAAUAGUAGGUAAUACCGAAUGUGACCGUACCUGUUAGAGGGGUACGAGGAAAGGAGCUAAGGCUUCGCUAAAAGAAUGGCUCGCGGCCCAUUAUGCUCGUUGGUGAGGUAACGGCCCACCAAGGCGAUGAUGGGUAUCCGGCCUGAGAGGGUGAACGGACACAUUGGGACUGAGAUACGGCCCAGACUUCUACGGGAGGCAGCAGUUAAGAAUAUUCCGCAGUGGACGAAAGUCUGACGGAGCGACGCCGCGUGGAUGAAGAAUGCCGAAAGGUUGUAAAAUCCUUUUAAGCCUGAUGAAUAAGCACAGUAGGGAAUGAUUGUGCGGUGACCGUAGGGCUUGAAUAAGCACCGGCUAAUUACGUG